GCCAACUUAGCUCAGCUGGUUAGAGCAACGGUUUUGUAAACCGUAGGUCCGGGGUUCGACUCCCCGAGUUGGCU
rnacentral:tRNA from 1 species